AGCUUUGCGCAGUGGCAGUAUCAUAGCCAAUGAGGUUAAUCCGAGGCGUGAUUAUUGCUAGUUGAAAACUUUUCCUUUCCUUACACUUUAUUGCUGAGCUUUACAUAAUGGAGCACCAUUGGAAUAGCAGCACUAGAGAUGUGACAUGCUAAUUACCCGGGGCAAUGGGGGAGGGGU
rnacentral:snRNA from 1 species